rnacentral:lncRNA from 1 species
GGUUAAAGCUCUACUGCUGAGCUACAGCCUAGUGCACCGUUGCAGUUACUACCUUUCUGUUUCAUACAUUAUUACUGAAGUUGAGAAAGACGAGGUGGUUUUCUUGAUUGCCCAGAUGACUAAGGCUGAGCUAACGUGUAAGUCACGGCUUUUUACUUUUUAUCCUCAAUCCUUAGCUCCAUUCACUGCCCCAUGAGAGCGUCCACCACGUUUAUUUUCUUGUCUAUGCAGUCUUGCAAUUUUUCUCAAACUGCAGGACGCACCGACAGCUUGCUGCUCUCCUCGGCUGAAGGUGGCGAGGCUUGGAGGGUACACAGCACCAUGCCGGUCUAAGUGUCUCUGCUUUGCUUCCAAGCUGACUAUGGAGCUCUGCCCUUUUGGCCAUGGGGCUCAGAAAGGGUUUUCUUUUAAGCAUAUUGUUAGUCCUAUUCUGUUUCUGAACUCUCAUCCACCUCCUUCUCUAUGCUACACAUUGAUCUCUGUGGUUUAUUAUAACACUUCUUUAUGUAAUGUUGAGUUUACUGUGAUCUAAGCUCAAGGGGCUGUCCGCUUGAAGCUCAUUAUGAAAAUUGAUAUGGGACCUCAAUUCUAUUCCAUUCAUCUA